rfam:Schistosoma rodhaini strain Burundi genome assembly, scaffold: SROB_scaffold0005969
AUCCAGCUGACUAGUCCCAAAUAUGACGAGACGUGCGUCCUGGAU